rnacentral:rRNA from 1 species
AACCGAGAACUCCUACGGGAGGCAGCAGCCGCGGUAAUACGUAGGGUGCAAGCGUUAAUCGGAAUUACUGGGCGUAAAGCGUGCGCAGGCGGUUGUGUAAGUCAGAUGUGAAAUCCCCGGGCUCAACCUGGGAAUUGCAUUUGAGACUGCACGGCUAGAGUGUGUCAGAGGGGGGUAGAAUUCCACGUGUAGCAGUGAAAUGCGUAGAUAUGUGGAGGAAUACCGAUGGCGAAGGCAGCCCCCUGGGAUAACACUGACGCUCAUGCACGAAAGCGUGGGGAGCAAACAGGAUUAGAUACCCCUGUAGUCCGACUGAGA